UUUUUAGUAUAAGUAGGUCCCAUGAAAUGUUUGUGACAUAUAUAUACUAAAA
rnacentral:pre_miRNA from 1 species